UACGUAGGGUGCAAGCGUUAAUCGGAAUUACUGGGCGUAAAGCGUGCGCAGGCGGUUUUGUAAGACCGAUGUGAAAUCCCCGGGCUUAACCUGGGAACUGCAUUGGUGACUGCAAGGCUUGAGUGUGUCAGAGGGAGGAGGAAUUCCGCGUGUAGCAGUGAAAUGCGUAGAUAUGCGGAGGAACACCGAUGGCGAAGGCAGCCUCCUGGGAUAACACUGACGCUCAUGCACGAAAGCGUGGGGAGCAAACAGG
rnacentral:rRNA from 1 species